AGUGAACGCUGGCGGUAGGCCUAACACAUGCAAGUCGAACGGCAGCACAGUAAGAGCUUGCUCUUACGGGUGGCGAGUGGCGGACGGGUGAGGAAUACAUCGGAAUCUACUUUUUCGUGGGGGAUAACGUAGGGAAACUUACGCUAAUACCGCAUACGACCUACGGGUGAAAGCAGGGGAUCUUCGGACCUUGCGCGAUUGAAUGAGCCGAUGUCGGAUUAGCGAGUUGGCGGGGUAAAGGCCCACCAAGGCGACGAUCCGUAGCUGGUCUGAGAGGAUGAUCAGCCACACUGGAACUGAGACACGGUCCAGACUCCUACGGGAGGCAGCAGUGGGGAAUAUUGGACAAUGGGCGCAAGUCUGAUCCAGCCAUACCGCGUGGGUGAAGAAGGCCUUCGGGUUGUAAAGCCCUUUUGUUGGGAAAGAAAAGCAGCAGGUUAAUACCCCGCUGUUCUGACGGUACCCAAAGAAUAAGCACCGGCUAACUUCGUG
rnacentral:rRNA from 1 species